rnacentral:tRNA from 1 species
GUUCUUGUAGUUAAANNUUUAUAACAGCGGCUUUUCGGGCCGCAAGUCCCGGAGAGAGGCCGGGCGGGAACN